GGAACGUUGAGCUAUGUACGGAAGCCGAGUAAGGACCUGCUGGUGGAUUUUUGAAUCUGACAUGACAGCUAUUUCUCACACAUAGCCAGAGCUAUUUAUCGCAACAGAAAGGGGGUUCGGGAUUAUCUCUUUGCUCUAAAAACAAAGUGAGAGAUCAAAACCCUUUGCUACUAAAUACAUCUGGAUUGCAUCUGCCAUUCUGUAAAUGCUCAUUGCCACGGUACCGGUAGCUCCUGCUAACAAAGCAAUUACGGAUCUGACAAAUCGGUGCGACCAGGAUGGAGUGGCAGCCGGAUGAACAGGGUUUGCAGCAGGUGCUUCAGCUGCUGAAGGACUCCCAGUCUCCAGACACAGCCACACAGAGAGCUGUGCAGGAAAAACUGGAACAGCUCAACCAGUUCCCAGACUUCAACAACUAUCUCAUCUUCGUCCUUACAAGCCUCAAAUCAGAGGAUGAGCCGACCCGUUCUCUAAGUGGUCUCAUAUUGAAGAACAAUGUGAAGGCCCACUACCAGAACUUUCCUCCUCUGGUAGCUGACUUCAUCAAGAGGGAAUGUCUCAACAACAUUGGAGAUCCCUCACCCCUCAUCAGAGCAACCAUCGGCAUCUUGAUAACCACCAUAGCAUCUAAAGGAGAGCUGCAGACAUGGCCUGAACUCCUCCCUCAACUCUGUAACCUGCUCAACUCUGAAGACUACAAUACCUGCGAGGGUUCUUUCGGAGCCCUGCAGAAGAUCUGUGAGGAUUCUUCAGAGCUGUUGGACAGUGAUGCUCUCAACAGACCCCUGAACAUCAUGAUCCCCAAGUUCCUACAGUUUUUUAAACACUGCAGCCCAAAGAUCAGGUCUCAUGCCAUAGCGUGUGUGAAUCAGUUCAUCAGCAGUAGAGCCCAGGCUCUGAUGGAUCACAUCGACACCUUCAUCGAGAGUCUGUUUGCUCUAGCGGGGGAUGAGGACUGUGAGGUGAGGAAGAACGUGUGUAGAGCUCUGGUCAUGCUGCUGGAGGUCCGGAUAGACCGACUCAUACCACACAUGCACAGCAUCAUACAGUACAUGCUCCAGCGUACCCAGGACCCAGAUGAGAAUGUUAGUCUGGAGGCCUGUGAGUUCUGGCUCACCCUGGCUGAGCAGCCCGUCUGCAAGGAGGCCCUGUCUGGGCACCUGGUCCAACUCAUCCCUAUCCUGGUGAAUGGGAUGAAGUACUCUGAGAUAGACAUCAUCCUCCUGAAGGGAGAUGUAGAGGAGGAGGAUGACACCGUACCAGACAGUGAGCAGGACAUCAAGCCUCGCUUCCACAAGUCACGCACCGUCACCCUGCAACACGAGGGAGGAGAGGGGGAGGAGGGGGAGGAUCACGACGAUGACGAUGACGACGAUGACACGCUCUCUGACUGGAACCUGCGGAAGUGUUCGGCGGCAGCAUUAGACGUGUUAGCUAACGUGUUUCGUGAUGAGCUGCUCCCCCACCUGCUGCCCCUGCUGAAGGGCCUGUUGUUCCACCCAGACUGGGUCGUCAAGGAGUCGGGAAUACUGGUGCUGGGGGCUAUCGCCGAGGGUUGUAUGCAGGGCAUGGUUCCCUACCUACCAGAGUUGAUGCCUCACCUCAUCCAGUGUCUCUGUGAUAAGAAGGCCCUGGUGCGCUCCAUCGCCUGCUGGACUCUGUCCCGCUACGCCCACUGGGUGGUCAGCCAGCCCCCUGACUCCCACCUCAAACCCCUCAUGACCGAACUCCUCAAGAGGAUCCUGGACGGGAACAAGAGGGUUCAGGAGGCCGCCUGCAGUGCGUUUGCUACCCUAGAGGAGGAGGCCUGUACAGAGCUGGUUCCCUAUCUGAGCUUCAUCCUGGAUACUCUGGUCUUCGCCUUUGGAAAAUACCAACACAAGAACCUGCUUAUACUGUACGACGCUAUAGGAACACUGGCUGACUCAGUAGGACACCACCUCAACCAACCGGAGUACAUAGAGAAGCUGAUGCCUCCUCUCAUAGCCAAGUGGAAUGAGCUGAAGGAUGAAGAUAAGGACCUGUUUCCUCUGUUAGAGUGUCUGUCCUCUGUCGCUACAGCCCUCCAGAGUGGCUUCCUGCCCUACUGUGAACCAGUCUACCAGCGCUGUGUUACACUGGUGCAGAAAACACUGGCUCAGGCUAUGAUGUACAGCCAACAGCCGGACCAGUACGAGGCUCCUGAUAAGGACUUUAUGAUCGUGGCCCUGGACCUCCUCAGUGGUCUGGCUGAGGGCCUGGGGGGCCACGUUGAUCAGCUGGUGUCCAGGAGCAACAUCAUGACACUACUGUUUCAGUGCAUGCAGGACACUAUGCCAGAGGUGAGACAGAGCUCCUUUGCCCUGCUGGGUGACCUGACCAAGGCCUGCUUCCCUCAUGUUAAACCCUGCAUCGCUGAGUUCAUGCCUAUCCUAGGGACCAACCUGAACCCAGAGUUCAUCUCUGUGUGUAACAACGCUACCUGGGCCAUAGGAGAGAUAUGCAUGCAGAUGGGUGUAGAGAUGCAGCCCUAUGUGUCUCUGGUCCUAAACCAGCUGGUAGAGAUCAUCAACAGACCCAACACACCCAAGACCCUGCUGGAGAACACCGCCAUUACGAUUGGUCGCCUGGGCUACGUGUGUCCUCAGGAGGUGGCUCCGAUGCUCCAGCAGUUCAUCAGACCGUGGUGUACGUCCCUACGGAACAUCCGUGACAACGAGGAGAAAGACUCCGCCUUCAGAGGGAUCUGCAUGAUGAUUGGUGUAAACCCUGGAGGAGUGGUCCAGGACUUUAUCUUCUUCUGUGAUGCCGUGGCGUCCUGGGUCAGCCCUAAAGACGACCUGAGAGACAUGUUCUACAAGAUCCUCCAUGGUUUUAAGGACCAGGUAGGAGAGGAGAACUGGCAGCAGUUCUCAGAACAGUUUCCUCCCCAGCUGAAGGAGAGACUGUCUGCCUGCUACGGCGUGUAGAAACCCCCCCCCUAACCUAACGUCAGGUGAGCCAGUAGAAGAGGAGGAAGGUGAAAAGGAAUCUCAUCCAUCUGUGUUAAUGCCCUGAACUGAUCUGGGGGGAGGGGGACCCAUCACGCCAUUGGCCGCUCCCCCUGACGGACGGCCCCCACGCCCUAUGUAUUUCUCCAUAGUGGGAGGGUGGGCGGGACUUGGGGAGGGACAGGGGGACACCUCUAGAUUAAAGAUUAAGGGGACCCAACCAACACAGAGAAACCAACUAAGGUAGGGACAGAUAGAGGGGUUACCUACAUUCAGAAGGAAAAGGUUCCAACACAGAAACAGGUAGGGACAGAUAGAGAGUGAGGGAAAGAGAAGGGUAGGUAGGGGCCAGCUAGACUGCAGUAGAGAUGGGUAGGUAGGGGCCAGCUAGACUGCAGUAGAGAUGGGUAGGUAGGGGCCAGCUAGACUGCAGUAGAGAUGGGUAGGUAGGGGCCAGCUAGACUGCAGUAGAGAUGGGUAGGUAGGGGCCAGCUAGACUGCAGUAGAGAUGGGUAGGUAGGGGGCCAGCUAGACUGCAGUAGAGAUGGGUAGGUAGGGGCCAGCUAGACUGCAGUAGAGAUGGGUAGGUAGGGGCCAGCUAGACUGCAGUAGAGAUGGGUAGGUAGGGGCCAGCUAGACUGCAGUAGAGAUGGGUAGGUGGGGCCAGCUAGACUGCAGUAGAGAUGGGUAGGUAGGGGCCAGCUAGACUGCAGUAGAGAUGGGUAGGUAGGGGCCAGCUAGACUGCAGUAGAGAUGGGUAGGUAGGGGCCAGCUAGACUGCAGUAGAGAUGGGUAGGUAGGGGCCAGCUAGACUGCAGUAGAGAUGGGUAGGUAGGGGCCAGCUAGACUGCAGUAGAGAUGGGUAGGUAGGGGCCAGCUAGACUGCAGUAGAGGUAGGUAGGGGUCAGCUAGACUGCAGUAGAGGUAGGUAGGGGCCAGCUAGACUGCAGUAGAGGUAGGUAGGGGCCAGCUAGACUGCAGUAGAGGUAGGUAGGGGCCAGCUAGACUGCAGUAGAGAGAGAUGGGUAGGUAGGGGCCAGCUAGACUGCAGUAGGUAGGGGCCAGCUAGACUGCAGUAGGUAGGGGCCAGCUAGACUGCAGUAGGUAGGGGCCAGCUAGACUGCAGUAGGUAGGGGCCAGCUAGACUGCAGUAGGUAGGGGCCAGCUGGACUGCAGUAGAGAGGGGUAGGUAGGGGCCAGCUAGACUGCAGUAGAGAGGGGUAGGUAGAGAGGCCAGCUAGACUGCAGUGGAGGGAAAGAGCGACUUAACAGAUUUUUAAAUCAGACUGUAUGAAAAAAUCCACCACACUGAGAGAGCCAUAGACGGAGAGACUGUCAGGCACUCCCACAGUAAGACACACACACUUGCAAUACCUAGAGCUUUGUGUAGAUGGCGCUGUUAAACUAGUCAGACUCCGACACUACCAGUAAGGGAUUAACAGUCAGUGAGGGACAGACAGCGUGUUGGGGACAGACAGGUAGGUGUCUAGCCUGUUUAUUUCUGGGAGAUAUCUCUUUUUAUCCGGGGUAAAGGAUAUUCUAUAUAAAUUAAUAUUCAUCCUGUCAUUACUAGAUCACUGGUUCACUGCUGAUCUAUGCUCCACCAAGCAUGUUUUGUUUCUGUGCUUUUUCCCUAAGGAAUGCUUUCUUCAUAUAACUUUUAUGAGAUAAUUCUCAUGUUCUCUUCUAGAUAGACAGGGGAUAACUAACCUCUUGGUUCAUACGAGUCAUCAUUAUAAGAGGGAGAGAAAUAGGGCUUAAAUAAUACCUGUUAUUCUUACAUAAGGUUAGGAAACUACAGAUUACAGCCUCAAGAUCACGUCUCUAGUUGUACCUGUGUGUGUGUCGUGUCUGAGUUUGUUUACCUAUUGUUUACCGUACAUGACAUUGUUGAUUGUUUUAAUAAGGUAACGAUUUAACACUUGACUCCUCCCACCCCAUGUCCUCCACCUGUAAACUGUGACCAACUGUGUGUGUGUUGCCAUAGUGAUAUCUUGAGUGAAGAGAUUCAACCCAGAAUUGUUUAUCCUGAUAACGUGUUACAAGAGGUCCAUCUUUUGUUGCUUUUUGUUUAUUUUUAUUUGCUGCUACUAUUUUUGAGUUUCCAUGGUGAGCUUAAAUGAACACAAACAAGACAUUGUUUCUUUUUAGUUUUGUGGUUUUGCACUUUUUAUUUUUUAUUUUUGUAUUAAGGAUUUUUUGAAGCUUCCCUCAUAAAGGACAUCUGAAUUGUAACAUCCGUGUUCUAUUGUUUUUCACUGUCUCUUACUUACUGGCAAAACAAAAGUAGGAAAACUAAAAUGGCAAAUAAACAGUUAGUGAAACUGCGAGUAAUCCGCACUUUUACAAUGACUGACUGUGUACGUGUGUGGGCGCAUGUUUGUAUUUUCUAGGGAAAGGAGGUUGUAGCUGGAACUAGCGUUGUGUGUGUGUGUGUGAGAGAGAGAAUAGUGUUAUCCUUUUACUUUUCAUCACUUUGUUCCAAGAUAAGAGCACAAUAUCCCUCCAAUAGGAAAGCAGAGCUAGGACUCAUACAAACAGAUGGCAAAAACAGAAUGCCAACAGCCUACGUCCCAAAUGCCACUCUAUUCCCUAUAUAUAUUCCUCAUAGGGCUCUGGUCAAAAGUAAUGCAUUUUAAAGGGAAUAGUGCCAUUUUGGACACAGGCAUAGAGUUGGAUAGAGGGUGCACUUGAACAGAAACUGUUGUUGAAAAUGUGCCUGCUAGCCAACUUUAUGUACAGUGUAGACAGCUGUGAGGUUAUCAGCAGUUUGAGGCCAUGAUUCAAUCCGAUCGCCCCUUUUCGGCUAAGCACCUUUUUAAAGGCAAUGUUCCCACGUUCUCGGAGACCGCGUUCACGGUAAACGCUGUUUAUGUCAGCUCAAUUGGAAAUUACCUUUAAAUGUCAUGAGGCAGAUCUAAUGAGGAUUUGGAUGAAUCCCAGCCUUAGUGUCAUUAAAGGGGACGUUCAGUAUUUUGGCCUUUGACUUUUAAAGUUAGCUGACGUUUUUAGUGGCUAUUUUAAAGAAAAUCGAACCAGGGAUUUCAGUUUCUCCUGAACCAUUGAAUACUUUCUGGGUGAGGGACAAUCUAACAUUAAGUUGUAAAAUCCUGAACUUCCCCUUUAAUAUCCAUAUCUCAGCUUUAGUGAAUUUGGACACAUUUUGCACAGAUAGAUGUAUAGAUGACUGACUGACCAGGACUGUGAUCAUAGAAGCGAUAAACUAAUCAAUGUAUCAUUCAACAAAGACAAUCUACAUCUCCCCCAUUCUGCUAUCUCUAUUUCUAUCAAUAUAUCAGUUUAGGUUUUAGAUUUUCAUAUUUUUGUAUCCAUUUUAAUUUAUUUAAAGUUUUUUUUUGUCAGGUUUCAAUGUUCUGUAGUAGAUCGUUUGGACUCGUUAUGAUAUUGAUGACUUAAUUGGUUAAUAAAUGCAAUCAAGUGUCUUUAGUAAAUGAGGGCUCUAACUUAGGAACUUCUAGAACUUAAGGCUUAUUGAGGAACGGAGGGAAGAAAGAGGGGGAGGAAGGGAAGGCUGUAGAAACAAGCAUGAUCUUACUUGUUCAAGUUUUGCAGAAUGACUUUGAUGUGCUCCAGUAUUUCAAUGGACUGCUGCCUAUGUCAAUCUCUACAAACAUUCAACUCAUUUCUUUGUGGAAAUAAAUACAUCAAGUUUCUUCUUCCAA